rfam:Mesocricetus auratus contig074898, whole genome shotgun sequence.
CCAAAGGCCCUUUUCAGGGCCCCCAAAGGAUCGGGAAGGAGCUGG